AGUGGAUGCAGCAGUGCUUAAUCAGCUGAGAACUCUUCUGAAGAACCUCAGUUUACCCUUUGGAAUAAGUGACGAUCAGAUCACUGAACUCAACAUCACUACAGUGUGUCUUUUGAAUAAUACUGGAUACCAGUGCCGGUGUGAGGAUCAGUAUUUCUGGCCGUGUAACAAGUGCGCAGCGUAUGGACCCUGUGACAACAUUAAUAAUGUCACAUGUGGAUGCAUCAGAGCCGUUCCAAAUGAUGGACAGUUCUGCCAACCAAUGACAGAGCUGGCCAAUAUCACAGUAUGUCCAACUCCAGGUAAAUAAAAGCAUUUGUACAAUA